rnacentral:ncRNA from 1 species
UAAAUGGAGAGUUUGAUCCUGGCUCAGGACGAACGCUGGCGGCGUGCCUAAUACAUGCAAGUCGAGCGRAGUUGAUGGAGUGCUUGCACUCCUGAUGCUUAGCGGCGGACGGGUGAGUAACACGUAGGUAACCUGCCCGUAAGACUGGGAUAACAUUCGGAAACGAAUGCUAAUACCGGAUACACAACUUGGUCGC